rnacentral:tRNA from 1 species
GGGGUUGUAGCACAGUGGUAGUGUUCUUACCUAGUAUGUGUGAGGCACUGUGUUCACUCCUCAGCCACCACA